GAUGAACGCUGGCGGCGUGCCUAAUACAUGCAAGUCGAGCGAAUGGAUUAAGAGCUUGCUCUUAUGAAGUUAGCGGCGGACGGGUGAGUAACACGUGGGUAACCUGCCCAUAAGACUGGGAUAACUCCGGGAAAACGGGGCUAAUACCGGAUAACAUUUUGAACCGCAUGGUUCGAAAUUGAAAGGCGGCUUCGGCUGUCACUUAUGGAUGGACCCGCGUCGCAUUAGCUAGUUGGUGAGGUAACGGCUCACCAAGGCAACGAUGCGUAGCCGACCUGAGAGGGUGAUCGGCUACACUGGGACUGAGAAACGGCCCAGACUCCUACGGGAGGCAGCAGUAGGGAAUCUUCCGCAAUGGACGAAAGUCUGACGGAGCAACGCCGCGUGAGUGAUGAAGGCUUUCGGGUCGUAAAACUCUGUUGUUAGGGAAGAACAAGUGCUAGUUGAAUAAGCUGACACCUUGACGGUACCUAACCAGAAAGCCACGGCUAACUACGUGCCAGCAGCCGCGGUAA
rnacentral:rRNA from 1 species